UGUCACGUCACGGACCUAGUGUAAUAACUCCAUGGUUCACGUUUGGUUUUGCGUUUCGCAUUAAUGCGUAAAAUUUUGUCGAAUUUGGUGCACUAUUUAUAAAUUUAAUAGAGUAAAUGGUGUCGUACAUUAAAAACAGCAAGCAAACCCUAUAUACUCGGAUCUCUUCAAACUACAAUGUAUAAGCUUAAUGGACCGAAUGACCUCUUUAUAGUAUUGGACAAGACACAUAAUACGUGCUCAGCUCAGUACUUGUUGUGCUGCCGAGCAUGUCUGUCCACCGACGGCAGAUUGUACAAUAUCCAUGAGUAUAAACUAGCUAACGCUUUCUCUGCCAUUGCUGGGGCUCCUGUGAUGAAGGACAAGCUUCCUCAAUAUCUGUGCUCACACUGCCGCACUCUGCUUAUGAAAUGUGUCUUGUUCAGGAAGAUGUGUGUCCGAACACAACAACAGCUCAUGCCAGAGUUGCUGAGGGGACAGUUAAACACAGAUUAUAUUCGAAGUAUAAAUCAGACUUCUCAAUUCAUCAAUUUAACCAUAACUGAAGUUGAAACAAUCAACUACAUCCCUGAAAAAGACACUGAACCAGAAAAUGAUAUAAAAAUAAUGGAAACCCUAACACAAGGCGCAAACUUAGAUAUACUACCGGCAGAACACAUAAAAAAUGAACCAAACAUAGAUAUAGUUGACAUAAAUAAAAUUUUAAACAAAACUGAUGAAAUGAUAGAAUUUGAUGUUGGAAUAUAUGAAGAAAGUAAUCAUAAUGGAAUAGAUGUCAUACCGUUAAAAGAUGAAAAUGGAUUAAAAAGUACAAAUAAAAAUAUAGAAAUAAAAAACGAUGGAAUUGGCACCAAAUGUAAGAUAGAAAUAGAGAGUGAAAAUGGUGAUAUUAGUAGAAUAAAAUCAGAUAUGGAUGGAGUUAUUGUGAAUGAGUAUAAAGAUAUAGUUGAUGUCAGUCUAAAAAAUGAAACAUACAUAGAAAUUGGAGACCAUAUUGAGAAUAUAAAUGAUGUCAGUAGUAUAAAGAAUGUUAAAAAUUCAGUGAAAAAGCGAAAAGGAAACGGUAGUAAACAAAACGCUAAGAAUUCAGUAAAAAAAGCGUAAAAUAAUUAAAAAAGAGGAGGAUAAAACUAUAUGUAAUCUUGGUGAAAAAAAUACGGGUCCCAAACCGACUCGCACAAGGAAAAGAAUAAAAAAUGAAAAGGAAGAAAUGAGAAAAAAUAAGAUUUUCGAAAGUGAUUAUUCAGUGCAAAUUGUUAUUUUGAGCAAGGAAGAGCAGUUGGCAGAGUUCGCAGCGCGCCGGGAGAGCAGGAACUACCUGGAGUCGCAGUUCAAGUGCGAGGAGUGUUAUAAAGGGUUCGGGAUGAAGCCAGCUUAUGAGAACCACCUGCAGCGGCAUAGUGCUAGCAUUGGGCCGUACGCGUGCGAGAUCUGCCAGGUUCGCUUCGCGAGGCCCAACAGGCGGAAUCAGCACCAGGGUUUGCAUCGGAUGAAGAUGCUCUGCACGCUGUGCGACUUCGUCUCUAGAAGCAAGUCCCAGGCGAUGCUGCACCACGGCCUGCACGCGGGCCGCACCUACGAGUGCCAGCACUGUGGCAAGAGCUUCAAAAAGAGUACGUCCUUCCUGUCUCACAUGCGUUGCAUGCACCCCAAUGCGAACGUGGCCUGCGACGAGUGCGGCGAGGUGUUCGUCGGUCAAAAAGGGCUCCGGUUGCACAAAGGGAAAACCCAUACCAAGAGAAUCAAGUGCGAAGUAUGCUCAGCGAUGUUUGUGAGCUUAGCCGCUCUGGACAGACAUACGGACACGGCCGGCGAGCAUGAAGGCCUGCGGCCGUGCGAGCAGUGCGGCGAGAACUGUGCGAGCGAGGAGGCGCUACACAAGCAUGUGGGGGACGCACAUCCGACCGUGUCAACUCGAUGUGAUGAGUGCUCGAUAUCUUUCCCGACCGCCGAAGCGUACACGACCCACGUGUCGCGUUCGCAUCUCCAACAGAAGAAGAAGAUCGAGACGCGACCACGCCUUCAGCGGGAGCCCUUCGUGAAGAACGAGGUUAUGUGCGAACUGUGCGGAGACAAAGUGCCGUUCCCAUCGAUGCUGAAACAACAUAAUCAGCUCAAACAUCAGGCGCCAAAACCAUUUGCCUGCAAUGACUGCUCGAAGGACUUCCUCUCAAAAGAAAGUUUAAUUAUUCAUAUCCGCUCGCACACGGGCGAGAAACCUUACAAGUGUAAGGAGUGUCCCAUGGCCUUCACCAUGAAGGGUAACCUCAAACGACACCAUAAAACAGUGAGUACCAUGAUCAUCAUAAUCUUCCCCUACAGCAUGUUUCCCCCAGGAUCAAGUAUUGCCAGUCUCCCCUCACACCUCUCACACGGGCGAGAAACCUUACCAGUGUAAACACUGCCCACGCGCAUCUAGCAUGAAGGCUAACCUCGACCGACACCAUAAAACAGUGAGUACCAUCAUCAACAAUAAUCCUCCCCUAGCAUGUCUCCUCCAGGAUCAAGUCUCCCAUAGGAUCUAGUAUCCCCAGUGUCCCCUCACACGGGCGAGAGCCCGUACCAGUGUAAGCACUGCCCACACGCCUUUAGCAUGAAGGGUAACCUCGACCGACACCAUAAAACAGUACACCUGGGCGUCCGCGGCUGCUUCUCGUGCAGCAUCUGCGGGAGCACGGUCACGACCAAGUCAUCGCUGCGCCUGCACAUUCAGUCGAAACACGGCGGGCGGAGCUGGCCUCGGAGCCGCAAGCGGCAACAGAAACAGAAAAUAAACGAGAAACUAACCAUAAAUAAAGAUAUAAUAUAAAUAAGUAAA